UACGAAGGGGCUAGCGUUGCUCGGAAUUACUGGGCGUAAAGGGCGCGUAGGCGGGUUGCUAAGUUAGAGGUGAAAGCCCAGGGCUCAACCCUGGAAUUGACCUUUGAAUACUGGCAGCCUUGAGUAUGGCAGAGGUGUGUGGAACUCCGAGUGUAGAGGUGAAAUUCGUAGAUAUUCGGAAGAACACCAGUGGCGAAGGCGACACACUGGGCCAUUACUGACGACUGAG
rnacentral:rRNA from 1 species